rnacentral:lncRNA from 1 species
UGGACUUCCUAGAAAAGAGGAGAGCUGUGAGGAUUGAAGAAAGAAAGACAGGAAUAAAGUACUACAUAAAGAAAGGCUCUUUUCUGGGUGUUACCUCCUCGAGUCCAAGCAUUGGCCUGGCUGCUGAGCACAGAGGUGGUGGAAUAAUGUAGCUGCUCUCACGUGGCUCAGAGAGUGACUCAGGACUCCAGGCUGAGCCAUGGCAGGCACGGUUCUCACUGAGGUGAUAGCUUCUGAGUGAGCUUGGGAGCAGAGAGUGGGGAAGUGGGGAGAGUAAAGGAUUUCUGCUCUG